rnacentral:tRNA from 1 species
GCCCUGGUAGUGCAGUGGCUAAGCACUUGGCUGCUACCCAAUGGUUGGUGGUUCGAAUCCACCCAGUGGCU